AAAAGGGCUGUAGGAAGGUGAUCUAUAGUUACUCUAAGAGGGAGAGUUGGCUAGGGACUAGGGGGAGAGUAAGUCCUGGUAUCUUGCCUUGGACUACAGACUCUGGUAGGAAGUUGAGAGGGGUAAAGUAGCCCUAGGAAGUGGAGGAAGCUCCAGGGAUAAACCCAGAAAUGGGCCAGAAGAUAGAGAGGAGAGGUAGGAAAGAGCUCAGGGAUGCAGCAACAGGACCAGAGCUUGAGCAGACUGUGGUUGCUAGGGAUAGGGUCCCUGAGCUGGAACCCAGAGUAGUGGGUGGGCCUUGGAUCCCCUAUUGGCCACUAGGAAAGUGGCCCAAACUUCAAAGUGGAUCAGAAGAUGGACAAUUUGUCCAGUGGUACUUUGAUAUCCCAAAAGCGGAGGACUAUAGUAACCCAGCUGAAGGGCCAAGGCAUGAAGAGGGAGCACCUUGAGUUCAGAGAGAGAGCAUGGAGAGGGCAUCAGACCUGGACAAAGGGAGACCCCGUUGGUGGGCACUAAGCAGCAUUGGCUAUGUUAGUCUUGGAAUUGGAGAGAACGACCAGAGGGUCUGUCUGUGUCCAGCAGUCUUACUAAAGAAUCCCCUUUAUGGUCACUAAAGCCGAGCUCUAGAAGAAAGAUUUCAGAGGUCACAAAGCAAGAUUCACUCUUCAGUAAAACAUUUCCCAAAGAACAAGAGCAGAAGAAAGUCUGGAAGUGUGUUCAAAGGAAGGAGCCAGUUACUAUUUCAGAAACUAUGAUGGAGAAUUGACUGGCCCUUCUGGAUAGAUCCAAUUGUUUUCUAUAACCUCCAUACUGUAUGUAGUUUCUCCUGGGACAGAACUCUAGAAAUGCUGAUAGAUGGAGGAUUGAUAGAUAUACCUGCAUUGGCAGGAAGAUGGUAUGUCUUUUCCGUCUCUAACUUCUGUGAUUCUACAAAACAUACAAAGCAGCUGCAUGAAAGUGAAUACAUAGACCUUAUGGAGUUUCCAGAAUGCAUCCAAACAAACCAAACCGGUAGUUACAAUGGUUGAUUGAAAAGACUUUAGGGAUAAAAAUACCCAAAUUGCAUCAGAAAGAGAGCCCUGGAUAAAGGAAAUCUAUGUCUGAGGAACAUCAGUGGGAGAAAACCAGAGCUCAAUGACCCUAUGUGCACUUUAGCCCAAUAUAAUGCCAUUACCAUUCUCCUGGAGUCAAAUAAUGUUAGCACAGUGCUUUGAAGAUGUAAAUUACUACACAGGCAUUAUUUUAUUUACUUCUAAACAUUACUAUGGUAGUAAUCACUGUAGUAUUGUUACUGUAUUGUGCUUUACUCCCAUUCCCACCAGAGAGAGAGCUGUCAGCAUUAUCUGAAGCUAGCGGACUACAUUAUGAAUUUAAAUAUCCAUGUAGAUAUAUUUAUUUAUUUUUUGUUAGGGCAGAGAUUUGUUUCAAUGGGAGAGGGGCUGCUGUGUCAUAUAGAUGUUCAUUACCUGUUGCUGUGCUCUGUUAAAGGGGCAAACAUAUUUUCACCUGAGUCAAAUUGAAUAAAUAAAUAACAAGGCUUUUCUUACUGUCCUCUAUUAAACGUGAAUUGAAAAGAAAACAAAUAGCCCUGACUGAAAAGUAUUCAUGUAGAAAUUUUCUGAUUGGGGGGGGGAAUAAUGUUUUCCCGCUAAACUUUUUUCACUGUGGGAUCAACACUAUAGCUGGUGUCCACUGAAGUAUGGUGUUAAUAUAACAUACAUUCUGAGUGUCCUGCUUUCUAACAUGGGCAUGUAUUCCACAAUACACUACACUGAGGAUCUGAUCCUGAAAAUGCUCCAUGCGCAAACUGUGAUUGACUUCAGGGGCAUGUGGACUUCUUGCAAGACCAGUCCCUAAAUUUUCCUUUGGAAAUACAUGGAAACCCCUCAAAUGUUUCAAAAUGUAACGCAGUUCUUGAGCAGGUGACUAAGAUUUUUUUCAUUGAAUUUAGUUGCAACCAAUCAGAAUGCACUUCUUUGCAUAUAUGUGAUUGCCCAACUCUGUGGCAGUAAAUAACAGAAUCUCGUUGACUAUCACAUGGCUGUUUUCAGCUAACCACGAGCCAGGUUUGUCAUUAUGGAUGUAAAUAUUAUUCAUUAGCUAACGAAUUUAUUAUGCAGCAUCACUACAUAACAUUGGAAGCCACUCAAAGAAAAUUUUAGUUUAAAAACUAUUCAGAAAGUAAAUGCCAGCUCUCUUUCCAGGCUUUCCCACGAUAGUGCCCUCAUUCUCAUAGAUUCAUUCAUUUUAAAAACUCAAACCUAUACCCUAAGCCACUGAGUGGUAAGGAAGGAAAGGGGGCCAGGGCAAGACAGCGAGUGAGCAUUGUUAUCUUUUAAUUAAUGAGAGACAUUAGGAAACAGUGAUAAGUAACUGGACAGAUAGGUAGUCAAGAAAUUUUAUUAAUUGAUUGAUUCAGCCACCCAAUUUGGCUCUGAUGGCAUUUUCUUUUUUCAUGAGGUUGGAAAGGGUUGUUA